CUCGAGGUUGAACCCCUGGACACCAUAGAAAAUGUAAAGGCCAAGAUCCAGGAUAAGGAAGGACUUCCUCCUGAUCAGUAGAGGCUGGUCUUUGCUGGUAAGCAGCUGGAAGAUGGCCAUACUUGUUUGACUACAACAUUCAAAAGGAGUCCACCCUUCAUCUUGUGUUGAGCCUUCUUGGUGGUGCUAAGAAAAGAAAGAAGAAGUCUUACACCACUCCCAAGAAGAGUAAGCAUAAGAGGAAGAAGGUUAAGUUGGCUCUGCUGAAAGGUGGAUGAAAAUGGCCAAUCAGUUGACCUCAUCCAGAGUGUCCUUCUGAUGAGUGUGGUGCUGGAGUUAUCAUGGGAAGCCACUUUGACAGGCACUGCUGUGGCAACUGUUGUCUGACUUAACUGCUUCAACAAACCAGAAGGCAAGUAG
rnacentral:lncRNA from 1 species